rnacentral:rRNA from 1 species
AACGAGCGAGAGAGAGCUUGCUUUCUCAAGCGAGUGGCGAACGGGUGAGUAACGCGUGAGGAACCUGCCUCAAAGAGGGGGACAACAGUUGGAAACGACUGCUAAUACCGCAUAAGCCCACGGCUCGGCAUCGAGCAGAGGGAAAAGGAGCAAUCCGCUUUGAGAUGGCCUCGCGUCCGAUUAGCUAGUUGGUGAGGUAACGGCCCACCAAGGCGACGAUCGGUAGCCGGACUGAGAGGUUGAACGGCCACAUUGGGACUGAGACACGGCCCAGACUCCUACGGGAGGCAGCAGUGGGGAAUAUUGCACAAUGGGGGAAACCCUGAUGCAGCGACGCCGCGUGGAGGAAGAAGGUCUUCGGAUUGUAAACUCCUGUUGUUGAGGAAGAUAAUGACGGUACUCAACAAGGAAGUGACGGCUAACUACGUGCCAGCAGCCGCGGUAAAACGUAGGUCACAAGCGUUGUCCGGAAUUACUGGGUGUAAAGGGAGCGCAGGCGGGAAGACAAGUUGGAAGUGAAAUCCAUGGGCUCAACCCAUGAACUGCUUUCAAAACUGUUUUUCUUGAGUAGUGCAGAGGUAGGCGGAAUUCCCGGUGUAGCGGUGGAAUGCGUAGAUAUCGGGAGGAACACCAGUGGCGAAGGCGG